GUUCCAUGGACAGGCAAGCUAGAGUGGCUACUCACACUCUCAAGUCCCAUCAACACACAGAAGUAAGCCUCCAAAAUUUGUCUGCUGUCUGCAAACUCUGAACAUGCCAAUGGGAGUCACUGGAAUCUAGCUGACCUGGCCUGACCUACCUCUUCACUCACGAAUGGGGCAACCUCAAAUACCUUCAGCUGUUUAGGCUAUGCUCCAAAGACAUGAAAUGGGGUAUGCAUUUCCUAUCUGACAGUUCAGAGCUGCCCAUGUGUCAGGGAGGAACACUUGUUUCCUGUCCCCAUGCUUCUUGCACAUCAGCCCCACGUCACAGUCUCUGAUGUGAGCUCACAGUAAGACACAUAAGACAUGGCGACCCACCCUGGAGCCUGAGCCAGUGCAGGCCUGCAAGAGAACAAAGGCCAGACUCUUCAAACAGUAAGCAGUGGGGACAGCCUGGGGUCUCAGGAACAUGGUCUGUGCCGUUUAAGUCUCUGGGUAUAAUGCUGUAGGAACUUAUACCUUUUAAAUUUCUGGGUAUAAUGCUGUAGGAACUUACAUCUUUGGUGCCAAGGUUUCAUGUUUGCAGCAGGACUUUUCAUAACAGUUCUUGGGUGGAAUGUGAAAACACUCAGAAAACUUUUGAGGCAACAAAUUUACCCAAUUAAUAUUCAAGCUAACACUAACAACAAACCAGAUUCAUUAUGUUUUUCAAAUGGAAACCUAGCACCCAUUUUGUACUAAUAGGUCAGGAAAUAGCUUCAUUUGUGCCUGGUAUUUAAAAAAAUAAUAAACAUCAGAAAAUGCC
rnacentral:lncRNA from 1 species